rnacentral:tRNA from 1 species
UCCCUGAUAGCUCAAUUGGUAAAGAAUCUGCCUGCAAUGCAGGAGACCCUGGUUUGAUCCCUGGGUUGGGAA